CUGAAACGGUCUCCUUUUGUGGGACACAGCGCCUUCUUCUAAAAUGAGCCACAAUCAUUGGCUCUCCCCGCUUCCUCCCUGCUCAGAUGGAAAAGCCUUUAAACUGAGUCCCCGGUGGUUUUCCUUUCUCCUGGAAACUUUCAUCAUCGAAUUGGGAAAGGAUUCAGAAGCAAGAGACAGUGGAAAGCAGCUUUAUGCAAAGAGGGAGAAGUAAGCAGAGGAGGUACGGUGAAUCUGCAAAGAAGGGAGAGAAGGCACGUGAAAAAUCCGAUUUCUCCUGUGGUUCUCUGGUUUGGUGGGAAAGAAGAUUCAAGAGCUCAGCUAAGGUCCAGCUUGGGAUGAGGUCAUUUUGACGGCUUUCCUUCGCCUUGAUGCUAACCUGGUGGCGGGUUGACUGACAGUAUUGGUCUACGGACAGAGUUCUUGCUGCAUUGUUAAGUGUGGUGUGAGGAAACACUGAACAGGUAGAGAAAGAGAAGAAAUAUCUUUUCACAAAAAGACUGGUCCAGUCGCCAAAUAAUAUUAAUCCACAAGCUAAGAACAGUUUUCCUACCCAAACCAAUGAGAGAGAUAAUAAUUGCAUUUUAGCUUAUUUGUGUCUGUCUGUCUGUCUGUCUGUCUGUCUGUGUAUAUAGAGGACAGAAGUCAGCUUCAUGUAUUGUUCCUCAGACACCAUCCACCAUCUUUUUAAAGACAAUGUCUCUCACUGGGACCUGGAAUUUGACAAAUAGUCCAGGCUGUCUUGGCAUCCAGCCCCAGAGAUUCAC
rnacentral:lncRNA from 1 species